AGCUAAUAUGAAUAUCCAUUAACUGCAAGGGGCUCAACCACCCCUCGAAACGCCACCAGGUCAUGCGCUGGGCCAACAGGUCGGGGGCAGACGUGGUCUUUCUCCAAGAAACACACUACGCUCACUCACGCCCGUUCCCUCUCCUAAGCCGUCACUACCAAACCUGUCAUCUCGCCAACUCAAACACAGGCAAACACAAUGGGGUGGCAAUCUUACUGAAAAAAAACUGCCCCAUACACCUUAAAGAUGUUCACAAAGACCCGCAAGGGCGAUACAUAACAGCAACAGGCACAAUUGGGCCCACAAAAAUAGCUCUGACCUCCAUAUACGCACCAACGAUUCCAGACCCACAAUUUUGGCAGACAAUACAAGCUCACCUCAGCCAACAUCCCCUCCACCAAAGAAUAAUAGGGGGGGACUUCAACGCCACAAUCUCCCCAUCCAUAGACAGACAACGAUACUUCCCCCACACCCAGCAACCCAUCCCUACAGAUCGGACAAAUUGUUGGCCGACUUUAUAACCCAAACGGGCCUCAUAGACAUAUGGAGAACUCAACACCCAACAGACCGCGACUAUACGUUCUACUCGCACCCCCACCACACCUACUCCC